UAAAUUGUAUUGGUAACAUAUCAACUUCCACUAGAGGUCAGUAGAGAGCAGAACUCACUCUGUCCUCCUUUACAGGAGAUUCACACGAGGAAGUGAUGCUUCAACAGACACACAGAGUGUCCGUCCUGACUGUAACAGUGACACAUACACAGGUCUGAACAUGAGGACCAUGUCCCCUGAUUACGACACUCUGGCAAGUGUCCAUCCUGACCCUACCAGUGACCCCAACAGUGACAUUUACACACCUCUGAACAUGAAGACCAGGUCACCAGAGUAUGACACCCUGGCAAAUGUGAGGGGACCCUCCCACUGAGAGAACCACCACAGAACCUGCACUGAAGAGAACCACCACAGAUCCUGGACUGAAGAGAAUCACCACAGAAGCUGGA